AGCGGUAAGGCCCUUCGGGGUACACGAGCGGCGAACGGGUGAGUAACACGUGAGCAACCUGCCCCUGACUCUGGGAUAAGCGGUGGAAACGCCGUCUAAUACCGGAUACGACCCGCCACCUCAUGGUGGAGGGUGGAAAGUUUUUCGGUCAGGGAUGGGCUCGCGGCCUAUCAGCUUGUUGGUGGGGUAACGGCCUACCAAGGCGAUUACGGGUAGCCGGCCUGAGAGGGCGACCGGCCACACUGGGACUGAGACACGGCCCAGACUCCUGCGGGAGGCAGCAGUGGGGAAUAUUGCGCAAUGGGCGAAAGCCUGACGCAGCGACGCCGCGUGGGGGAUGACGGCCUUCGGGUUGUAAACCUCUUUUACCACCAACGCAGGCUUCCAGUUCUCUGGAGGUUGACGGUAGGUGGGGAAUAAGGACCGGCUAACUACGUGCCAGCAGCCGCGGUAAUACGUAGGGUCCGAGCGUUGUCCGGAAUUAUUGGGCGUAAAGAGCUCGUAGGCGGCGUGUCGCGUCUGCUGUGAAAGACCGGGGCUUAACUCCGGUUCUGCAGUGGAUACGGGCAUGCUAGAGGUAGGUAGGGGAGACUGGAAUUCCUGGUGUAGCGGUGAAAUGCGCAGAUAUCAGGAGGAACACCGGUGGCGAAGGCGGGUCUCUGGGCCUUACCUGACGCUGAGGAGCGAAAGCAUGGG
rnacentral:rRNA from 1 species